rnacentral:tRNA from 6 species
AGGCCCGUAGUUCAGUUGGUUAGAACGCACCGCUCAUAACGGUGUUGUCGGGGGUUCAAGUCCCUCCGGGCCUACCA